UUUUCCUUCAGAUACAUAUGAUAAAAUUGGAACGAUACUGAGAAGAUUAGUACGACUCUGUACAAGGGGAGACACACAUCGGAUAAAUGCUAACUUUUCUU